rnacentral:rRNA from 1 species
AGCGAACGCUGGCGGCAGGCCUAACACAUGCAAGUCGAACGAACCUUUCGGGGUUAGUGGCGGAAGGGUGAGUAACACGUGGGAACGUGCCUUUAGGUUCGGAAUAACUCAGGGAAACUUGUGCUAAUACCGAAUGUGCCCUUCGGGGGAACAAUUAAUCUCCUUUAGAGCGGCCCGCGUCUGAUUAGCUAGUUGGUUGAGGUAAUGGCUCACCAAGGCGACGAUCAGUAGCUGGUCUGAGAGGAUGACCAGCCACAUUGGGACUGAGACACGGCCCAAACUCCUACGGGAGGCAGCAGUGGGGAAUCUUGCGCAAUGGGCGAGAGCCUGACGCAGCCAUGCCGCGUGAAUGAGUAAGGUCUGAGGAUUGUAAAAUUCUUUCACCGGGGACGAUAAUGACGGUACCCGGAGAAGAAGCCCCGGCUAACUUCGUG